rnacentral:rRNA from 1 species
CAGCAGCCGCGGUAAUACGUAGGAGGCGAGCGUUAUCCGGAUUUACUGGGCGUAAAGCGCGUGCAGGUGGUAUUCUAAGUCGGACGUGAAAGCUCCUGGCUCAACUAGGAGAGGUCGUUCGAAACUAGGAAACUUGAGGGUGGUAGAGGAGAGUGGAAUUCCCGGUGUAGUGGUGAAAUGCGUAGAUAUCGGGAGGAACACCAGUGGCGAAGGCGGCUCUCUGGGCCAUUCCUGACACUAAGACGCGAAAGCUAGGGGAGAGAACGGGAUUAGAAACCCCGGUAUUCCUAGCCGUAAACGAUGUCAACUAGGUGUAGGGGGUAUCCAACCCCCCUGUGCUGCAGCUAACGCAUUAAGUUGACCGCCUGGGGACUACGGCCGCAAGGCUAAAACUCAAAGGAAUUGACGGGGACCCGCACAAGCAGCGGAGCGUGUGGUUUAAUUCGAGGCUACGCGAAGAACCUUACCAGGGUUUGACAUGGCGGUGGUAGGAAAGUGAAAGCUGACCGACCCUUCGGGGAGCCGUCACAGGUGCUGCAUGGCUGUCGUCAGCUCGUGCCGUGAGGUGUUAGGUUAAGUCCUGUAACGAGCGCAACCCUCGUCGUUAGUUAUACGUGUCUAACGAGACUGCCGGUGAUAAGCCGGAGGAAGGCGGGGAUGACGUCAAGUCAGCAUGGCCUUUAUAUCCUGGGCUACACACACGCUACAAUGGCCGGUACAAUGGGUCGCGAAGCCGCGAGGCGGAGCCAAUCCUCUAAAGCCGGUCUCAGUUCGGAUUGUAGGCUGCAACUCGCCUGCAUGAAGUCGGAGUUGCUAGUAACCGCGCGUCAGCAACAGUGCGGUGAAUACGUUCCCGGGUCUUGUACACACCGCCCGUCACGUCAUGGAAGUUGGCAACGCCUGAAGUCAGUGGGCUAACCCUAACGGGAGGCAACUGCCCAAGGCGGGGUCGGUAACUGGGACGAAGUCGUAACAAGGUAGCCGUA